CCGGUCACCAUUUUCCAGGAAGCAACAGCUGGCAGCACAGCGAAACAGCACCUAACACAGGAGGAUUUCUAACCAGGAAUGAACACAGAUUAAUCCCUGGUUGGUUUGUACUGCAGAGGUUACUGCCUUCAUGAGGCAGGGAAGUAAACAAGGAACAAUUCCAACACCCAGAUUCACUUGCAAGUCUCGUCCUAAUAGACUCUUCUCUAAUUUAGGCCCGGUCACCAUUUUCCAGGAAGCAACAGCUGGCAGCACAGCGAAACAGCACCUAACACAGGAGGAUUUCUAACCAGGAAUGAACACAGACUGCACGCUGGACUCUCAUGGAAGGAAGCAACUGCUGCAGCUGAGCACCUGCUGAAGCUGCACCAUCAUCAUCAUCAGGAGCAGGAGCGUCUGGGAACCUGAGCAAGGAACAGCUCCCGUCCUACGUCAUCAGGGGGCUUCCAGCAAAUCCUACUAUUUCCCUCAAAGCCCUGCACUGAGACAUGCACUGCAUUUAUUUUAAGCACUACCCUCACUCUUUGCUGUGCCAAACUCCUUUAUUUAAUUAUUCUUUUGUUUUGCCUUUUCUCCCUCCCCAGCCUGCUGCCUCCCCUGUCAAAGCCUCGUCUUGCCUUCAGUCCCUGAUCCAAUUUGUUCCUGAAGCACACCUGAGUCCCUGCCUGGGUGUCGAGUUGGCAAUUCCUCCGAUGCUCCAAUAUCCCACUCAAUUGCCUCAAUUAGCUCCCACUGUACACUUGGGUGUAGCACUAAUGUGGCAUCUGUGCAGCUCAGGGAAUAUCUGCUCCAUUAUGGAGCUUUUCCAUCACUUCUAGGAGAGAAGGAUUACUGCGCCUUUAACUGUGUCACUGCCUUAGCUGGAGGGAUCAUCCUCUGCCUCCUUGGCUUACCUACAGACACUCAAGCUUCUCUGCAGAUGUUGAAACUUGGGAAAAAUAGUUUGUCUGUGAGGGAGGUGAAAUCACAGACCAUCAAGGCUGUAAAAAGAGUAAUUUAUUGGAAAGCUUGAAGCACGAAUCACAGAGCUGCACAAGGAUGUUAUAGCUGCUGUGCCUUGAUUGAACUUUAUGUAAUUCCAGCCAAGUGCAGCUCUUUGCCCUGGUUGAGGUGUCUGUAAAGCUGAGGAGCUCUUCAGGCUGCAGAUCAGGACUGUAAAACCCUCAUCAGGUUCAGACUGCUCAAGCUGCUUGCAAUAAAAUGUAGACAAGGAUAAUCUUGAAGGGGAUAGGCCUAGACUUUGUCAUGGAUAUUUUCCAUUUGAACCCAUGAAAGUUCUGCCCAGAGACUGAAGGACAACGGGAUGGGCACACUCAGAAGACAGAAGUACAGACAAUGUGAGUUGUUUUAAAUAUAAUAGUAACAAUAAACUGUUUUAAAAAGUAGUUUAUUCAGUAGAGGAGAUUAGAAGUGAGUGUUAAUUUUUUCUGUCAAAGGUGAUGGUUUUGCCCCUGGUUGUAAAGCAAUAAAACAGCACUUUUCAAUAAGACAACAUGUUGGGUCCAGAUUUUUUUUUUUUUAAUAUAAAAUUCAAGCUCCUAAUAUCCCUUAUUCUGAGGAUUGGUAGAGGAGAAAUUUGCUAGCUUAAAAUUAUUUGACAGACAUCAAAGCUGAGGAGAUCAUUUUCAGUGCUGGAAGGUAUAUGUUAUCACUUUUCAUCUAUCUGAGCUUCCUCACAGUAUAAUUGCUGAAGCUGGCUUCAACUACAUCUGGUGGACUGGAGAGGUUACAAAGAGAUUUUAUGAAUGUAUGUUUCAUUAAAAUUAAUUUUUAAUUGAGAAAGGAGACCAUAUUCAUUUCUUUGCUGAUUAGAACAGCUGCAGUGUGAGAGCAACAAUCAUUAAAAAGAGAAAUGUUUAUAAUGCUCCUAGCAUCAGGAAGUAAAAACCCAAAACUAAACCAAGAAAUAUUAUCA